CGAAAUCAGUUAAGAACUCAUUGUUAUUUACAAGGACAGCCUACUCCUUCCUCCUCGUUGGGGGCUUGAAUCCCGGUCUUCCGGUGUUUGCAAUAUGGACAACUAUCAAAUGCUUCUCAAAGAUGCCCUCUGGUGGUCAAACUAGCAAUAACAGAAAAAAUGGCUGAGAAUUAAAUGAUGUGCCACAGAAUGCUAAGACAGGACGCAAGGUGUGCCGCAGUAUGACGCAACUUGUAAAGGAGGAACCACUGUAUGUUUGUCCUCUAUAGUUGCGUGCUUUUUUUUCAGUAGCAGCCUACCUGUUGGCUCUUGAUCGUUGUAGCCUAUCCUCCUGCUAAUUGCAUCAUUUUAAUUACAUCUUCCAUUGAUUAGAUAUUGCCUAACUUUUGCCCCACACGGAGGCUAUGACUGUAGCCUACUGCCGCUUUGAUGACUUACUAUUGGACAACAACAACAACAAGCUACACACACCAAUCUUGUGAAAAGAAUGAGCAGCAGCAGAAAUGAUACAAUACAUAUAUAUUUAGACUCAUGUUUGGUGAUGUUUUUCGUGACACAUUUUACCCCCUAUGAACCUUUUGCAAGUUUUACAGCCCAGUAGGCUACUGGGUUACCUUCAGAUGACUCCCCUGAAGCAACUGACAUCUUCGUGUUGGUGAGAGUCUCCCCAUUCAAUAUUGGGGACACAUUAGUUUGUAGCUCCAACGGUCUGGAGAGACGGUUUUGUGAGAAGACCCUCGAAACGCUGCAAAGUUUGUGGAUGUUGGAGAGCCAAACAAACGACAGUGUCGCAUCUUUCGAUGGUGGUGACUUAAGUUUGUAGCUCACACGAUUUGGGUUUCACAGACAAUUUGGAUGAUGUUCUUUUCCGGAUCUUCUCAAGUGUAGAAAAAUGCCGCUUUCACAAGUCCCAUGUUAUGUCAGCAGAAAGAGAUGAUUGAGCUGCAGCCACUACAAGACAUGACUGGGGAGGGAUGGUGUACAGGAGAAGACCCUACAUCACUGCCCUUUCUCUGCCUCCCACUCAUCACUCGCCGUCAGGUUAUGUUAACCAGUACCAACAUUAACCCACCCUCUUGUGUUGGUCUGGCUAAUGGAGGUUGGAGGAUACAAGGCAAUGGAGUUGUUUGAUCCACUCUGACCUCUGGUCGUCUAGGGUUAGGGUUGAAACAGGAUCUGGACAGGGAUGGGAAAAAUGACAAAAUAUAACUGCAAAAUACCAUAAAGAUCAAUGUAUCAAAAUAAACCAAAAAAUACUUAUAUUUUGAAAUGUGUUUAAUUUUGAAAUACAGAAAUACAUUUGCAAGUAGC
rnacentral:lncRNA from 1 species